AUGAAGAGGGCAUGUGUUUGUAUUAGAUCAGAAGGUUUUGCAGUUGACAAGCUUACAGAUUUGAGCACCCCGAACAACGGGGUGGACCCUUUGACCUGUGGGUUCUGCUGGUACCAAGAGAAGGAGGUUCCUUUUAACCUGCAGGAGCUCUACCAAUGGCAGCGUGCUUUCCUUGACAAUGACGUGGUACUGCACAUAUGCAAGAUGCAGCGAGUGAAAUCGGCGCAAGAGGGCAUCUUGCAAGCAGCACCAAAUCCUAUAUUAUGGGACCGAAUGCUGGGUGCAAAACUCCAACAAUACUUCCAUCUGCAGCAACAAACUCUGGUAGAGUUAACUCACGUCAGCAUAAGGCAUGAAGCUUUGGAAUUUGCAGAAAAAGUACUUACACUAAGAGGGCACCAUGGUACAUGUACGUGUCAAAAACAUCAAGUUCAAAACUUCGUGGCAUGCUUCCACCCAAUGAUUAGUCAACAUGAUAUCAAAUUUCAAGGUUGGGGAGAAUCAUAA
rnacentral:rRNA from 1 species